CCGCGUGAGGGAUGACGGCCUUCGGGUUGUAAACCUCUUUCAGUAGGGAAGAAGCGAAAGUGACGGUACCUGCAGAAGAAGCACCGGCUAACUACGUGCCAGCAGCCGCGGUAAUACGUAGGGUGCGAGCGUUAUCCGGAAUUAUUGGGCGUAAAGAGCUCGUAGGCGGUUUGUCGCGUCUGUCGUGAAAGUCCGGGGCUUAACCCCGGAUCUGCGGUGGGUACGGGCAGACUAGAGUGCAGUAGGGGAGACUGGAAUUCCUGGUGUAGCGGUGGAAUGCGCAGAUAUCAGGAGGAACACCGAUGGCGAAGGCAGGUCUCUGGGCUGUAACUGACGCUGAGGAGCGAAAGCAUGGGGAGCGAACAGGAUUAGAUACCCUGGUAGUCCAUGCCGUAAACGUUGGGCACUAGGUGUGGGGACCAUUCCACGGUUUCCGCGCCGCAGCUAACGCAUUAAGUGCCCCGCCUGGGGAGUACGGCCGCAAGGCUAAAACUCAAAGGAAUUGACGGGGGCCCGCACAAGCGGCGGAGCAUGCGGAUUAAUUCGAUGCAACGCGAAGAACCUUACCAAGGCUUGACAUGUUCUCGAUCGCCGUAGAGAUACGGUUUCCCCUUUGGGGCGGGUUCACAGGUGGUGCAUGGUUGUCGUCAGCUCGUGUCGUGAG
rnacentral:rRNA from 1 species